CUUCCUAACGAUUGUUAGCGUGCUCAAGUCCGGGUCUGCCCUGCGAGUUCCGCGGCGUGGGCUGCUGCCUUGGAAACGCGGGGCGCGCGCUUCCCGAGCCUGGCAGAGCCGGGGUCCGGAGGAUGCUGCUGGCGGCCGGGGCACGGUACGCCCGCCGGCUGUGCGGCCGGGGAGCCGCGGCGGCUCUGCAGGGACGCACAGGCCGGAGCUGCGCCCGGGACGUCAGUACUAGCUGGUCCCCGGUGGGCGCCGCCUUCAACGUCAAGCCCCAGAGCCACCUAUGGAACCUGUUGGGGGAGCGCCGGGGUCUUUUUGGAGUUCCUGAGCUCAGCACCCCUGAAGGAUUCCAAGUUGCCCAAGAGGAAGCCUUGAAGAAGACGGAGUGGCUGGUAGAGCGAGCAUGUUCCACACCCCCAGGGCCACAGACAGUCCUCAUUUUUGACGAACUCUCGGAUUGCCUGUGCAGAGUGGCUGACUUGGCGGACUUUGUGAAAAUUGGACACCCAGACCCUGCAUUCAGAGAGGCUGCGCAAGAGGCCUGCAGAAGUAUUGGCACCAUGGUGGAAAAGUUGAAUACAAACGUGGAGCUGUAUCAGAGUCUGCAAAGGUUACUGGGUGAUAAGAAGCUUAUGGAGUCCCUUGAUGCGGAAACCAGGCGAGUGGCCGAACUAUUUAUGUUUGAUUUUGAAAUCAGUGGAAUCCAUCUAGAUGAAGAAAAGCGCAGAAGAGCAGUGGACCUCAAUGUUAAGAUCUUGGACUUGAGCAAUGCUUUCCUCAUGAGAACCAACUUUCCCAACAAGAUCCGGAAGAGUCUCUUACCAGAGCACAUUCAGCACCACUUUGCCCGUGACGGAAGCCACUUAAUCAUUGACGGCCUGCAUGCAGAAGCCUCCGAUGACUUGGUUCGGGAGGCUGCUUAUAAAAUUUUCCUUUAUCCCAAUGCCGAUCAGUUGAAAUGUUUAGAGGAAUUGCUAAGCAGCAGAGACCUUCUGGCAAAAUUAGUAGGUUAUUCUACAUUUUCCCACAGGGCCCUCCAAGGAACCAUAGCUCAGACUCCAGAGACUGUCAUGCAGUUCCUUGAGAAGCUAUCUGAAAAGCUCUCUGAAAGAACUAGAAAAGAUUUCAAGAUGAUGCAAGGAAUGAAAACAAAACUAAAUCCUCAAAAUUCUAAACUAAUGCCUUGGGACCCUCCCUACUACAGCGGUGUGAUUCGUGCAGAGAGGUAUAAUAUUGAGCCCAGUUUAUACUGCCCGUUUUUAUCCCUUGGAGCUUGCAUGGAAGGCCUGAAUGUCUUAUUUAACAAACUGCUGGGCAUCACCUUAUAUGCAGAGCAGACCUUCAAAGGAGAGGUGUGGUGUAAUGACAUCCGGAAGCUGGCUGUUGUUCAUGAAUCUGAAGGGCUGCUGGGGUACAUUUACUGUGAUUUUUUCCAGAGAGCAAACAAGCCACAGCAGGAUUGCCACUUCACCAUCCGAGGAGGCAGAUUAAAGGAAGAUGGCAGCUAUCAGCUUCCAGUGGUCGUUCUCAUGCUGAAUCUUCCUCAUGCUUCCAGGGAUUUCCCUACAUUAUUAACUCCAGGAAUGAUGGAAAAUCUCUUCCAUGAAAUGGGCCAUGCCAUGCAUUCAAUGCUUGGACGAACUCGGUACCAACAUGUCACUGGGACCAGGUGCCCUACUGACUUUGCUGAAGUUCCAUCUAUUCUGAUGGAGUACUUUUCAAAUGAUUACCGAGUAGUCAGCCAGUUCGCCAAGCAUUAUCAGACUGGUCAGCCACUCCCGAAAGCUAUGGUGUCUCGUCUCUGUGAGUCUAAGAAGGUUUGCACAGCAGCAGAAAUGCAGCUUCAGGUCUUUUAUGCCGCCCUGGAUCAAAUCUACCAUGGCCAGCAUCCCCUGAAGAAGUCAACCACAGAUAUCCUCAUGGAAACACAAGAGCAGUUCUAUGGCUUGCCCUAUGUUCCUGACACUGCCUGGCAGCUGAGGUUCAGCCACCUCGUGGGAUAUGGUGCCAAGUAUUACUCAUACCUGAUGUCCAGGGCUGUGGCAUCCAUGAUCUGGAAGGAGUGCUUCCUACAGGAUCCUUUUAACAGGGCCGCUGGGGAACGCUACCGCAGAGAGAUGUUGGCCCAUGGUGGAGGCAAGGAGCCCAUGCUUAUGAUUCAAGGCAUGCUGCAGAAGUGUCCUUCCAUCGAUGACUUUGUGGAUGCCCUCGUGUCUGACAUGAAUCUGGACUUUGAAACGUUCUUCCUGGAUUCUAAAUAGCAGCAGCAUGGCUCCCGUGGAUAAGAACCUUGUCACCAGACCCUCCAGCUAGGAAAGCUCGCUCCAGCUUCAGCGAUCACUGAGGAGACAUUUUCUGACAAGCCUUAAAUUGACAGGACUCAGAAUAAAUAGUAAUGUUUUAAUUACACCGUGUCUCACCUGCUUGGCAAUUUUAAGGAUUUUUAGUGGAUCUGUGAACCACAGAAGUUUCUAAUUAUAGAGUACCACCCUUCCCUGUGCCACCAGGGGCUGUGUCCAGACUGCAGCCAUUCUGUUGAUCUCUUAAUUGAAUGCAUUAGAAACUCCACGGAAUGCUAAAUUGUUGCAAGUUAGGACAAUCUGAAGAGUUCUUUAAAAGAUCACACCUAUCUUUUAAAGGAACACUAACAUUUCUUAAGACCUCUAUCCUAGUCUCUUGGAUAGUCAGCUACAGUAACCGAGAAUCCAAUCCCAAGUAUUGCUACUGAUAUAAACAGUCUUUCCAGGGUGUUUUAGACUCUACACAGACGGGUGCAGAGCAGGGAGGAUUUGAACGCAGGCUUUGCUGUCUUGACUGUGAAGAUAAUGUUAGUGAGACAUACGAGGGUCAAGACAUGAGUACAUAAGGAAACAGGUUCAAGCCUUGUUUGUCAUUUCCCAGAAGCCACUGCUUUCCAUUGGCAGCUCUGGAGUUGCUACAUGUUGUUAGCAUGAGGAAAGGAAUCAUUGCAUGGACUUAGGUGGUUUUCCUGCCAUUAAAGUCAAGAAUUACAACUUCUCACUCCAAAGUGGUAUCUGGUAGCGCCCUCUUCCUGCCUCCUGCUAUGUGACCAGCCACAACAGAGGGGAGGGUCUCCCAGUCUGGGACACACUCAGCGUCCUCAUACUCUAGGAGUGUCCUAUAAGCUCAUGAGGCCCAGAGAUCUCCUCAGUGACCUGCUGUGCUGGGCCCCUUCGUGAACUACUGACCCAUCUCACCCGCCAUGUGCACAUCCGACUCUGGAUUCAUGCAGAAGAGCGGUUGGCCCACUGAGUUUCCAGAACUGUCCAUCCCACAAACCAUAUAUUGGUACCUCCAGAUAGUCAUCCCUCACCCCAUAGCUAUAGGGGCUCAACUGGGAAUCGAUGACUACCAUCUCCACACCGGGAUGCUAUAACCGCCGUGACUGAAAAAUCACGAUGAAGGACUCCAGAUGGAUGCAUGCAGCAACCCCAUGGAGUGAGAUGAUCCCGGACUAGGAUUAGCCUGUCUAUGCCAGCAAAUGAGUCAGGCAACUGAUGGUGAGUCCUUCAGGUGUAUAUGUGUGGACAAUUAAUUUUUAUUAAAAAAAUAAAUAAAGCCAAA